UACGGAGGGGGCUAGCGUUGUUCGGAAUUACUGGGCGUAAAGCGCACGUAGGCGGCUUUGCAAGUUAGAGGUGAAAGCCCCGGGCUCAACCUGGGAAUUGCAUUUGAGACUGCGUAGCUAGGGUGCGGAAGAGGGAAGCGGAAUUUCCGGUGUAGCGGUGAAAUGCGCAGAUAUCAGGAGGAACACCAAUGGCGAAGGCAGCACUCUGGGACGUGACUGACGCUGAGACGCGAAAGCGUGGGGAGCAAACAGG
rnacentral:rRNA from 1 species